rnacentral:rRNA from 1 species
AUUGAACGCUGGCGGCAGGCCUAACACAUGCAAGUCGAGCGGAUGAAGGGAGCUUGCUCCUGGAUUCAGCGGCGGACGGGUGAGUAAUGCCUAGGAAUCUGCCUGGUAGUGGGGGAUAACGUCCGGAAACGGGCGCUAAUACCGCAUACGUCCUGAGGGAGAAAGUGGGGGAUCUUCGGACCUCACGCUAUCAGAUGAGCCUAGGUCGGAUUAGCUAGUUGGUGGGGUAAAGGCCUACCAAGGCGACGAUCCGUAACUGGUCUGAGAGGAUGAUCAGUCACACUAGAACUUAAAAACGGUCCAGGCUCCUACGGGAGGCAGCAGUGGGGAAUAUUGGACAAUGGGCGAAAGCCUGAUCCAGCCAUGCCGCGUGUGUGAAGAAGGUCUUCGGAUUGUAAAGCACUUUAAGUUGGGAGGAAGGGCAGUAAGUUAAUACCUUGCUGUUUUGACGUUACCAACAGAAUAAGCACCGGCUAACUUCGUG